UCAGGGGGGGUGGGUGAGGACAUCCUGUGUAUUUUUCUAAUAUUUCCUGGACACCUUGAGUUCUGGACCCCAUUGCAAAUCCCUGUUUGGGCCUCCUCCUCUUGGCUGUACUGUUACAUGACUUGUACAAAGGAGCAAGAACCCAAAUGAACUCUUUUAUUCCUAUGGCGAACUAGUUACAUGUUCUUAAAUGUGCUUUAAUUGGAACUUUAUCCCACCAGACUGUUUUUGGCAGAGAGGAACAACACUGCCUGCUGGGUUUGAGCUGUCCUAAGAACCUUCUCCAAAGUUCCAGAGAGCCAGAAGUGAAGACCAGGAGUAGUGCACGCUCCCUAUGAAUAGCUUCUAAAUGUUCCCCUGCUCCCCCAAUAGUUUAGUUUUAAAUAGAGUUUGUUUUCAGUUUAGCCAAUAGAGGAAAAACCCAAGUGAUAAUGAUGAUAAAUAACAAUUAAAAUUUAAUUAACUAUCCAAUACCUCUACAAUCCUUAACUAUAAACAACUUAACUAUAAAUGUCAUAUUUCAUUGUGUAUAUAUGGUAAGUUGUAAUUUCCUUUUCUUCUAAAUUUUUAAUCAAAGACUUAAAGUUAUUUAAAAUUUCCAAAUCCCUAACUCCAUGUUGAUUAAUAUCACAUUAUAUGUAUCUGGUUGGUCCUUAGGGAACUCAUGUUUCCUGGUGGCAGUCACCCAACAUUGCAGACCUAAUGCCUAGAUAGCAGGCCUUACAAAGAUGUCAGAUAUGUCAUGUGAAAGAGAAAAGUCAUCAAUAUCUUUGAAAAAAUUGCUCAUUUUAUCAUUUUUUUUAAAAAGGGGGUUUCAAAUCUGAGAGCUUUUCUUUAGCCCAAAAUAGUUUUUAUACAAGGGUACCCAACCAUUUAUAAUGCAAACAUUUAAACAUGAAAACCCCCUCAAUGGGUAAUGAUGAACUUGUGCUAAGUUAAGAAGGUGUCUUCUGUCUCAGAAAACCUGUUAUUGUUUGACUUUUUAUAAUUGCAGUUCAGAUUUACAGACAAGUGAGAAAUAAUCUCAAAUGGCAGAUUAGACCCCCAGCUCCACCCCAGUCAAUGUUACCUUUCUGAAGAUCUUUAAAACAUGUUUUAUAUCUCAUCUUCUAUAUUUGCCCUAUAAAAAUUAUUUUAUAAAAACUUGUAUUCCAUGUCCUAGUCAUAAGUUGUAUUUUUUUCUUUAUGCUUAUCUCAGCCUAUAAAGUCGUGGUCUUCAACAGAGGGACUAAAAAUAUGUGUUCCCCUAUUGGGUCCAUAACAAAGAUAGGCUUUCCACAGGAGAAAAACAGCUUGGCUUAUUAUAAU